rnacentral:rRNA from 1 species
GACGAACGCUGGCGGCGUGCUUAACACAUGCAAGUCGAACGGAAAGGCCCUGCUUUUGUGGGUUGCUCGAGUGGCGAACGGGUGAGUAACACGUGAGUAACCUGCCCUUGACUUUGGGAUAACUUCAGGAAACUGGGGCUAAUACCGGAUAGGAGCUCCUGCUGCAUGGGGGGGGUUGGAAGGUUUCGGCGGUUGGGGAUGGACUCGCGGCUUAUCAGCUUGUUGGUGGGGUAGGGGCUUACCAAGGCUUUGACGGGUAGCCGGCCUGAGAGGGUGACCGGCCACAUUGGGACUGAGAUACGGCCCAGACUCCUACGGGAGGCAGCAGUGGGGAAUAUUGCACAAUGGGCGGAAGCCUGAGGCAGCAACGCCGCGUGCGGGAUGACGGCCUUCGGGUUGUAAACCGCUUUCGCCUGUGACGAAGCGUGAGGGACGGGAAUGGGGAAAGAAGCACCGGCUAACUACGU